UGGUUCCGCCCGGGAUCGGGCCGGGGACCUUUCGCGUGGAAAGCGAACGUGAUAACCACUACACUACGGAACC
rnacentral:tRNA from 13 species